rnacentral:rRNA from 1 species
ACGGGAGCAAUCCUGGUGGCGAGUGGCGAACGGGUGAGUAAUAUAUCGGAACGUGCCCAGUCGUGGGGGAUAACGCAGCGAAAGCUGUGCUAAUACCCCAUACGAUCUAUGGAUGAAAGCGGGGGAUCGCAAGACCUCGCGCGAUUGGAGCGGCCGAUAUCAGAUUAGGUAGUUGGUGGGGUAAAAGCCCACCAAGCCGACGAUCUGUAGCUGGUCUGAGAGGACGACCAGCCACACUGGAACUGAGACACGGUCCAGACUCCUACGGGAGGCAGCAGUGGGGAAUUUUGGACAAUGGGCGCAAGCCUGAUCCAGCAAUGCCGCGUGCAGGAUGAAGGCCUUCGGGUUGUAAACUGCUUUUGUACGGAACGAAACGGCUCUUUCUAAUAAAGAGGGCUAAUGACGGUACCGUAAGAAUAAGCACCGGCUAACUACGUGCCAGCAGCCGCGGUAAUACGUAGGGUGCGAGCGUUAAUCGGAAUUACUGGGCGUAAAGCGUGCGCAGGCGGUUAUAUAAGACAGAUGUGAAAUCCCCGGGCUCAACCUGGGACCUGCAUUUGUGACUGUAUAGCUAGAGUACGGUAGAGGGGGAUGGAAUUCCGCGUGUAGCAGUGAAAUGCGUAGAUAUGCGGAGGAACACCGAUGGCGAAAGCAAUCCCCUGGACCUGUACUGACGCUCA